GACGAACGCUGGCGGCGUGCUUAACACAUGCAAGUCGAACGGAAAGGCCCUGCUUUUGUGGGGUGCUCGAGUGGCGAACGGGUGAGUAACACGUGAGUAACCUGCCCUUGACUUUGGGAUAACUUCAGGAAACUGGGGCUAAUACCGGAUAGGAGCUCCUGCUGCAUGGUGGGGGUUGGAAAGUGUCGGCGGUUGGGGCUGGACGCGCGGCUUAUCAGCUUGUUGGUGGGGUAGUGGCUUACCAAGGCUUUGACGGGUAGCCGGCCUGAGCGGGUGAGCGGCAACAUUGGGACUGAGAUAGGGCCCAGACGCCUACGGGAGGCAGCAGUGGGGAAUAGUGCACAAUGGGCGGAAGCCUGAUGCAGCAACGCCGCGUGCGGGAUGACGGCCUUCGGGUUGUAAACCGCUUUCGCCUGUGACGAAGCGGGAGUGACGGUAAUGGGUAAAGAAGCACCGGCUAACUACGUG
rnacentral:rRNA from 1 species